GCUCCAGACUCCUACGGGAGGCAGCAGUGGGGAAUAUUGCACAAUGGGGGGAACCCUGAUGCAGCGACGCCGCGUGGGUGAAGAAGUAUUUCGGUAUGUAAAGCCCUAUCAGCAGGGAAGAAAAAUGACGGUACCUGACUAAGAAGCACCGGCUAAAUACGUGCCAGCAGCCGCGGUAAUACGUAUGGUGCAAGCGUUAUCCGGAUUUACUGGGUGUAAAGGGAGCGCAGGCGGCACGCUAAGCCUGAUGUGAAACCCCGCGGCCCAACCGCGGGAGUGCAUUGGGAACUGGCGGGCUGGAGUACCGGAGGGGCAGGCGGAAUUCCUAGUGUAGCGGUGAAAUGCGUAGAUAUUAGGAGGAACACCAGUGGCGAAGGCGGCCUGCUGGACGGAGACUGACGCUGAGGCUCGAAAGCGUGGGGAGCAAACAGGAUUAGAUACCCCCGUAAAG
rnacentral:rRNA from 1 species